AGUGAACGCUGGCGGUAGGCCUAACACAUGCAAGUCGAACGGCAGCACAGUAAGAGCUUGCUCUUACGGGUGGCGAGUGGCGGACGGGUGAGGAAUACAUCGGAAUCUACUUUUUCGUGGGGGAUAACGUAGGGAAACUUACGCUAAUAACGCAUACGACCUACGGGUGAAAGCAGGGGAUCUUCGGACCUUGCGCGAUUGAAUGAGCCGAUGUCGGAUUAGCUAGUUGGCGGGGUAAAGGCCCACCAAGGCGACGAUCCGUAGCUGGUCUGAGAGGAUGAUCAGCCACACUGGAACUGAGACACGGUCCAGACUCCUACGGGAAGCAGCAGUGGAGAAUAUUGGACAAUGGGCGCAAGCCUGAUCCAGCCAUACCGCGUGGGUGAAGAAGGCCUUCUGGUUGUAAAGCCCUUUUGUUGGGAAAGAAAAGCAGCAGGUUAAUACCCCGCUGUUCUGACGGUACCCAAAGAAUAAGCACCGGCUAACUUCGUG
rnacentral:rRNA from 1 species